GCUGCACGGGGGCUCCCCCCGUAGUUCCGGGGAGGGGAGGGGCAGUUCUUUUCCGCUCUCGGCGAGUCUCUCGGCGCCGGCCAAGCCCAGUCUCGUCUGCGCGGCUCCAGUCCACUCCGGCGGGCGGGCGAGCGCAGAAGAGCGGGGUCUGUCCUGGCCGAGCGCCCCGGAGGCCCAGGGGGACGGCGCCGCCUCCGCAAGGGGCAGCCCCGGGACGUGGGACAGUUGCCCUCCACCAAGCGCGGCAGACGCCCCUUUGGGCCGGACUGUUGCGAGGAGCGCCCGACGUUUUGCUAAUCCGGUUGUGCAAGCUGGGUUCGAGUCCCGAGCUUCACCCCUGCAGGGGUGGGCGCAAAGGGGCUCCCCCGGCCGAGCCUCCGCGGCCCAAGCUGUGGGCUUCCACCGGCCGGGCAGGGCGACGCAACGCGAUUGCGGCCUGCGCCCCUCGCCUUCCCUCGACUGGACGGCGGCCCUUUCCUAGAAGCUGCGCCGGGGGGAGGAGGAGGAGGAGGAGGGGGCAGCCCAUUCCAUCUUCGCAGCCCUCGAAUUGGCCCCGUUCGAGCGAAGCAAAGCUGGCGGUUGUUCCUGGUUUCCGAAGGAAUUCAGACGAGCGGGCAACUGUUCGCGCGCUACGAAGGAGGUCCUGGGUGAAUCGAGCUUUGCGGCGGCGCUGAAGGCGGCGUCCGAGGAGCGAUGUGGGGAAGCGGUGAAGGCUCCGGGCUGGAAACCAGAGACGGUGAAUUCUGGCCCUGCCUGAGGCAGGAAGCCAGCAGGGCGACUUCGGGCCAGUCCCUCCCGCUCAGCCCGGGGAAGGAGGCAACGGCAAACUGCUUCUGGAAAACCUGGCCAGAGCUGGCAGGCUGGGAGACCCAAAGAGGCUGGUUUAGGAAUCGGUCGUUCCUAGGCAACCACUGCUUGCAAAAAGGAGGUCUGUUGCAAUCCGGAACCUGCUCCAACUAUGCAACUCUGCAACAUCUCACAGACACACUUUCCACCGAAUGAGGCCCUGGACCAAGUGGUAAAAAGGGGAGAGCAUGGAUGCCUUUUUGGGUCAAGAUCCUUCUGAAUUAAGGGAGGCAUCCCAAGUAGAGAAGGGAAAUCCAGCCCCCCCCCAUUGGAAAUGCCACAAGGCAACCACUAGUAUUGGCACAACAGCUGGGCCUGAUCCUGUGCAAAAGGCACGCUUGCCCCCCCCCCUUCAUGGCCAUGCAAGAAACACAAAGAGGCCCUUGAAAAGGAAAGCAGCCCCUAAGACAGACUCAAGAUUUGCUGAAGUGUUACUUUCAGACCAUAAUAUAUGUUUAUUAUUCUUUUAAUCCAAGAAUAAAUUUGCAUUUGGCUCCUGCAACUUCAGAAUUUCAUCUUCGGACAAAAGUCGAAAACAAACAUGCAGAUCUUCUUCCAAGAUAAAUAAAAGUCAGUAGAAGGAAUUUUUUUAAAACUAGAACAAUCCUCCACAGCUGAAGGUUGGAGAGCUCCGUCCUCUUCCCACAAGCUCCCAAGCGGAGGUGACUUUGGGCUGCCUCCUCUCUGCUGCUCCUCCUCCUGGGGAAGAGUCCUGGGAGAGGAGCACGCCUGGCCCCCUCCACUCCCC